rnacentral:rRNA from 1 species
GACGAACGCUGGCGGCGUGCUUAACACAUGCAAGUCGAACGGAAAGGCCCUGCUUUUGUGGGGUGCUCGAGUGGCGAACGGGUGAGUAACACGUGAGUAACCUGCCCUUGACUUUGGGAUAACUUCAGGAAACUGGGGCUAAUACCGGAUAGGAGCUCCUGCUGCAUGGUGGGGGUUGGAAAGUUUCGGCGGUUGGGGAUGGACUCGCGGCUUAUCAGCUUGUUGGUGGGGUAGUGGCUUACCAAGGCUUUGACGGGUAGCCGGCCUGAGAGGGUGACCGGCCACAUUGGGACUGAGAUACGGCCCAGACUCCUACGGGAGGCAGCAGUGGGGAAUAUUGCACAAUGGGCGGAAGCCUGAUGCAGCAACGCCGCGUGCGGGAUGACGGCCUUCGGGUUGUAAACCGCUUUCGCCUGUGACGAAGCGUGAGUGACGGUAAUGGGUAAAGAAGCACCGGCUAACUACGUGCCAGCAGCCGCGGUGAUACGUAGGGUGCGAGCGUUGUCCGGAUUUAUUGGGCGUAAAGGGCUCGUAGGUGGUUGAUCGCGUCGGAAGUGUAAUCUUGGGGCUUAACCCUGAGCGUGCUUUCGAUACGGGUUGACUUGAGGAAGGUAGGGGAGAAUGGAAUUCCUGGUGGAGCGGUGGAAUGCGCAGAUAUCAGGAGGAACACCAGUGGCGAAGGCGGUUCUCUGGGCCUUUCCUGACGCUGAGGAGCGAAAGCGUGGGGAGCGAACAGGCUUAGAUACCCUGGUAGUCCACGCUGUAAACGGUGGGUACUAGGUGUGGGGUCCAUUCCACGGGUUCCGUGCCGUAGCUAACGCUUUAAGUACCCCGCCUGGGGAGUACGGCCGCAAGGCUAAAACUCAAAGGAAUUGACGGGGCCCCGCACAAGCGGCGGAGCAUGCGGAUUAAUUCGAUGCAACGCGUAGAACCUUACCUGGGUUUGACAUGGAUCGGGAGCGCUCAGAGAUGGGUGUGCCUCUUUUGGGGUCGGUUCACAGGUGGUGCAUGGCUGUCGUCAGCUCGUGUCGUGAGAUGUUGGGUUAAGUCCCGCAACGAGCGCAACCCUUGUUCACUGUUGCCAGCACGUUAUGGUGGGGACUCAGUGGAGACCGCCGGGGUCAACUCGGAGGAAGGUGGGGAUGACGUCAAGUCAUCAUGCCCCUUAUGUCCAGGGCUUCACGCAUGCUACAAUGGCUGGUACAGAGAGUGGCGAGCCUGUGAGGGUGAGCGAAUCUCGGAAAGCCGGUCUCAGUUCGGAUUGGGGUCUGCAACUCGACCUCAUGAAGUCGGAGUCGCUAGUAAUCGCAGAUCAGCAACGCUGCGGUGAAUAAAUUCCCGGGGCU